rnacentral:rRNA from 1 species
UACGUAGGGCGCAAGCGUUGUCCGGAAUUAUUGGGCGUAAAGAGCUCGUAGGCGGCUUGUCACGUCGGGUGUGAAAGCCCGGGGCUUAACCCCGGGUCUGCAUUCGAUACGGGCUAGCUAGAGUGUGGUAGGGGAGAUCGGAAUUCCUGGUGUAGCGGUGAAAUGCGCAGAUAUCAGGAGGAACACCGGUGGCGAAGGCGGAUCUCUGGGCCAUUACUGACGCUGGAGGAGCGAAAGCGUGGGGGAGCGAA